GACGAACGCUGGCGGCGUGCCUAAUACAUGCAAGUAGAACGCUGAGGGAGGAGCUUGCUUCUCUGGAUGAGUUGCGAACGGGUGAGUAACGCGUAGGUAACCUGCCUGGUAGCGGGGGAUAACUAUUGGAAACGAUAGCUAAUACCGCAUAAGAGUAGAUGUUGCAUGACAUUUGCUUAAAAGGUGCAAUUGCAUCACUACCAGAUGGACCUGCGUUGUAUUAGCUAGUUGGUGAGGUAACGGCUCACCAAGGCAACGAUACAUAGCCGACCUGAGAGGGUGAUCGGCCACACUGGGACUGAGACACGGCCCAGACUCCUACGGGAGGCAGCAGUAGGGAAUCUUCGGCAAUGGACGGAAGUCUGACCGAGCAACGCCGCGUGAGUGAAGAAGGUUUUCGGAUCGUAAAGCUCUGUUGUAAGAGAAGAACGAGUGUGAGAGUGGAAAGUUCACACUGUGACGGUAUCUUACCAGAAAGGGACGGCUAACUACGUG
rnacentral:rRNA from 1 species